rnacentral:rRNA from 1 species
GGUUUUUGCUAUUUUUGAUCCUCGGCCCCUUUCGUCCUAACAAAACUUUCUGAUCCGGGAGAAGUAGAUUGUGAAAGGUUGCAAAGUAUAAGAACUGACCCAAACCGCCCACGCCCACCUUCGGCAUCCGCCUCUUUUCCCCAAAUUCGUGACCAUGACUAAGCUCCCGCCCCCCUACCCCCGGCAAACUGAGCGAUCUUCCUCGCUGCUGAAGCACAGGGGCCUUGGCCUUACUCACAUUGGUAGAGUGAUUCGUCUGCCCAAUUGCGAAUAAAGAACGAGAACUUAAGCUCCUAAAUACCCAGACGCGCUAUGGCGGGUCGCCGGCUUCUUAGAGGGACAAUUGGCUCAAGUCGAUGGAAGUUUGAGGCAAUAACAGGUCCGUGAUGCCCUUAGAUGUUCUGGGCCCACGCGCGCUACACUGACAGAGCCAACGAGUUCAUUUCCUUAGCCGAAAGGUUUGGGUAAUCUUGUUAAACUCUGUCGUGCUGGGGAUAGAGCAUUGCAAUUAUUGCUCUUCAACGAGGAAUGCCUAGUAAGCGCAUGUCAUCAGCAUGCGUUGAUACCAGUCCAAUGCGCUUUGCACUCACCCCCGUCAAGGCGAAUCCC